UACGUAGGGGGCAAGCGUUGUCCGGAUUUAUUGGGCGUAAAGAGCGUGUAGGCGGCCAUACAGGUCAGCUGUGAAAACUCGAGGCUCAACCUCGAGACGUCGGUUGAAACCGUAUGGCUAGAGUCCGGAAGAGGAGAGUGGAAUUCCCGGUGUAGUGGUGGAAUGCGUAGAUAUCGGGAGGAACACCAGUGGCGAAGGCGGUUGCCUGGAGCUUUGCUGACGCUGAGGCGCGAAAGCGUGGGGAGCGAUCCGG
rnacentral:rRNA from 1 species